rnacentral:lncRNA from 13 species
UGCGUGAGCUUUCAACCGCUCAGGGCGUUGCAUCAGCACGAGAUUGGAAGUGCGUCAAAUCUGUACAGCAUUGUUACGUCAUCACUGAUAAACGUUGAAACUGAUGAGAAACCGCGGGAGCAGUUCAGUCUGAUUCUCGCUAGUCCUGGAGGAGCGUUCAUUUUGGCAAGGAAAUGUGCUGAUUUUGCAAGGACGUGAGAAGAAAGAGUUCAAGACCUGAUAAAGAUCACAGAGAGGUUGAGAGACAGACCAAGUUGGAAGAGGCUGUUCUAGAGACAGAUAUCCCAACUCUGUCACUAGAGGCUGAAGGAGAGAUUGAGAUGCAGGAAGCUGAUCUGAAGACAGAUGGCACAUCUCAGUCACAGGAGGUUGAAGGAGAGAGUGAGUUGGACGAGGCCAUUGUCAUCCCAUCUCAGUCACAGGAGGUAUGAUGUUUUGUGUUUUAAUGACGCAUUGACGAUUAAAAUGACGAAUGAAUUGUCCAAGCUUGAGCUAGUAAAGGUCUUCUAAUCUAGGAGGCCAAAGGAGAGAGUGAGUUGAAUCGGGUUGAUCUGAAGACAUCCACAUCAACUCUGACACUGGAGGUCGAAGAAGAGAGUGUCAUGCAGGAGAGUGAUGAUGUAGAAACAGCCGGGCCAUCUCAAUGCCAGGAGACUGAACGAGUGGCAAAGGUAAAUGCUUCCAGAUAACAGUGUGUGUGUGUGUGUACAUGUCUGUUUGUGCACGCAGACAGUAGUUCGUAAACAGACAUUACGUUAACACUGCAUGGCGAAUUUGAUUGAAUUCCAGCCUAAGUCUGCUUUCUGUCGUCCCCAUCAGGCUGCAGUGGUGACCUUCACUACCAUGACCCGCAAGGCUGCAGCCUCCCAGACCAGCCUCACCCUCAGCAGGGGAAAAAGAAGCUACCCAGACCUACACACCUUUGUGCAGGACAUGAAGGAUGGCUGUUCAAGACAAAGGGGGAACCGAAGAGCCACCCUGAACAGGAUUCUCUGCCUACCAAACGUCUCAGAGAGACUCGUAUUUCACAGGGUAAGUGAUAAGCAUCGAUAAUGUCAUAUUGAUGUAUCACCCUAUGGCCAGCUUGUUAAAACGGUGACUACAGAUACAGGCGGACAGACAGAUACACACAUUCAUUUUCUGAUUAUGAAAUAUUAUUUUCACAGAUGCUGAGUGUGAGGUUCCAUCCACUUCCCCACCCAAAGAGGACCUGACAACCACACUGGCCCCUGCUCCCCAGGAGUCCCAGUCCCGUAAACGCCCUCUCAUAGUCAGGGUGUUACGAGCUAUCUCCAGAGCCGUCUCCAAACCAUUCAGAGAAGCUUUUGGGAAGAAGAAUUAGCCAAAUGCCAGAUUUUAUUACUAUUUUAAUCAGAGCCUUUAUUUAAUAAAACAUUACUGCAUGGAUUUCUGUCUAUAGUCGUCUUACUGUUUGUGCAAGAUAAUGGUACCACAUUGUCAAACAUAGUUAUAGUGAAGCACUGUUUAUGAUUAUUGAUUGUGGAAAUCACAUUUUAAUACAGAAAAGAUGUCGUCACAUAAAGACAGACAUAAAGGAGAAAACUCCGUCGACUAUUCACAUGAUCAAGACACAACUAAAGCCAUGAAUGGAUCAUAUUAUUAUACCUUGAUUUCAACAAGGAACACAGACUGAGACCAAGGUGUCUUUUACAGCUGGGCCCUGCGUAGACAUGUUACACAUUCAGUUUAGCUACAAUGAUUAAGAAACUACACAAGACAAACAAGACCAUCACAGAUAACACACAAAUACAGCAGCAGAUUAUUACGUUUGCACACAGGUUAUUCCCCUAACAGCACAAUAACUUGCAUUACCCGAAAGUUACAAGCAAUACAGAAAUAAAAAUCCUCCAAUAAUUAUUUAAAAUGGGCAACAGGGGGACAAGAGUCUCAAAUGUAAGUUUAGUCUGCAGGCUUUUCCAUUGGCAAGGAGCGUAACAGGAAAAGGCAGCCAUACCCAACUCUGUGGAAAUCGCAUGGACCUCAAGCGUAAUCCAUGCUUGAGACCUGGUUUUAGGAAUUCUAAUUCUAAUAUUGAUGAGUGAUGAUAAAUAAGAUGGUAGUUUAUUCAGAAGUGCUUCAUAGACAAACACAAGAACAUAUUCUCGUCUCAUGGACAGCGAAGUCCAACCCACAUUUUGAUACAAAACACAGUGGUGAGUUCUGUAGCUAGCGUCCGUAAUAAACCUAAGUACUCAAUGAUAAAUAGCAUCCAG